CGCGGAGUGGAGCAGUUGGUAGCUUGCCGGGUUCAUUCCCCGGAGGUUGCAGGUUCGAGUCCUGCCUCCGCCA
rnacentral:tRNA from 1 species